rnacentral:rRNA from 1 species
UACAGGGGGUGCAAACGUUGCUCGGAAUCAUUGGGCGUAAAGCGCACGUAGGCGGUUCGUUAUGUUGGAUGUGAAAGCCCUUGGCUUAACCGAGGAAGUGCAUCCGAAACUGGCGAGCUAGAGUACUAAAGAGGAUCGCGGAAUUCCCGGUGUAGAGGUGAAAUUCGUAGAUAUCGGGAGGAACACCGGUGGCGAAGGCGGCGAUCUGGGUAGAUACUGACGCUGAGGUGCGAAAGCGUGGGGAGCAAACAGG